CGCAAGUGCAUACAGAAAUAUGCCCACACAUCAGCAAAGCAUUUCUUCAAAUGUCCACAGUGUAACAAUCGAAAAGAGUUUCCUCAAGAAAUGCUGAGAAUGGGAAUUCAUAUUCCAGACAGAGAUGCUGCCUGGGAACUCGAGCCAGGGGCUUUCUCAGACUUAUAUCAGCGCUAUCAGCACUGUGAUGCCCCCAUCUGUCUGUAUGAACAAGGCAGAGACAGCUUUGAGGAUGAAGGGGGUUACGACUGAUGGCAGGCUUCUGGGAUCAGCACUCAUCCUCUCUGAGCCAUACAUUCAUCUUGGGAGGUGGUGCCUCAUUCUGUGUGCUACAUGCGGAUCCCACGGAACCCACAGGGACUGCUCCUCUCUUAGAUCUAACAGUAAGAAAUGGGAGUGUGAGGAGUGUUCACCUGCUGCAGCCACAGACUACAUACCUGAAAACUCAGGGGACAUCCCUUGCUGCAGCAGCACCUUCCACCCUGAGGAACAUUUCUGCAGAGACAACACCUUGGAAGAGAAUCCGGGCCUUUCUUGGACUGAUUGGCCAGAACCUUCCUUAUUAGAAAAGCCAGAGUCCUCUCGUGGCAGGAGGAGCUACUCCUGGAGGUCCAAGGGUGUCAGAAUCACUAACAGCUGCAAAAAAUCCAAGUAACACCUUCUGAGUAGCUGCUGUCCCACACAAUAGGGUAUGAAGCUGCGCUCCUCCAUCGGGUUUGGGGAGGGAGCACUCUGGGACUGUGAGACAAGGAAGCAGGGCCAGCAGUGAGACUAUGAGCCAAGCAAAGAGAAGUCUCAGUGGAGCAUGAGGAGGGAGCAGUCCAGAUGCCAACAAGGAAAUGCGUUUAUGGCUACAAGAGUGCCUCUGCUUUCUCCUCCUCUCCUCCCACCAAGGAUUCUUCCACCUUAAUCUUGUUUUCAUAUGCCUCUUCUUACUUCACCCAUGUUUGUUGUUAUGCAAAUAAAGGUUUUC
rnacentral:lncRNA from 1 species